rnacentral:rRNA from 1 species
AGUGAACGCUGGCGGCGUGCCUAAUACAUGCAAGUCGAACGGAGGUUCAGUAGCUUGUUGUUUAAUCUUAUUGGGGCAGGGGUGAGUAAUAUAUAUAUAUCUUGCCCAUUACUAAGGGACAACAGUUGGAAACGACUGCUAAUACAUUAUACUACAUAUCUAUAUAAGUAGAUACGGGAAAGUUCUUCGGUUAUGGAUAGGGCUAUGUCGUAUCAGCUAGUUGGUAAUGUAAUGGUACACCAAGGCGAUGACGCGUAACUGGUCCGAGAGGAUGAUCAGUCACACUGGAACUGAGACACGGUGCAGACUCGUACGGGAGGCAGCAGUCGGGAAUCUUCGGCAAGGGGCGGAAGCGAGAAUUAGCCAAGCCGCGUGAGUCAAGAAGGGCUUCGGCUCGUAAAGCACUAUACUUUGGGAAGCAUAAAAGCCUUUUCAUGGGAAAGAAUUAUGACGGUACCCAAAGAAUAAGCACCGGCUAACUCCGUG